UACAGAGGUCUCAAGCGUUGUUCGGAUUCAUUGGGCGUAAAGGGUGCGUAGGCGGCGCGGUAAGUCGGGUGUGAAAUCUCGGAGCUUAACUCCGAAACUGCAUCGAUACUGCCGUGCUUGAGGACUGGAGAGGAGACUGGAAUUUACGGUGUAGCGGUGAAAUGCGUAGAUAUCGUAAGGAAGACCAGUGGCGAAGGUGGGUCUCUGGACAGUUCCUGACACUGAGGCACGAAGGCCAGGGGAGCAAACGGG
rnacentral:rRNA from 1 species